CUGGUGGAUUCAGCAGAAACCAAGAACCACCGCCCUGGUAACGGUGCGGGCCCCAAGAAGGCCCCGAGCCGAGCCAGGAACUCAGGGACUCAGAGUGAUGGCGAGGCCCUGGGCCCUGGGCUUCCACAUCCUGACCUCAGUAAGGAGAGAGAGAGCCAGGCCGAGGAGGGCCCAGGCGGGGCGCCCUGACCCGGCCUCUACCUUCCAGAGAAGCAGCCCGGCCUGGUGAUGGAGCGCGCUCUGCUCAGUGAUGAGAGAGUCCUGAAGGAAAUCCAGAGCACACUGGAGGGAGACCGCGGGAGCGGCAACUGGCGUUCACAUCGAGCCGCCGUGGGGUGCAGCCUCAGCAAUGGCGGAGCAGAGUGAGUGGCUGAGCGUCCAGGCUGCGCGAUGAGCACACACUACUACU
rnacentral:lncRNA from 1 species